rnacentral:rRNA from 1 species
UCGGGAAUUUUGGGCAAUGGGCGAAAGCCCGACCCAGCAACGCCGCGUGAGGGAUGAAGUAUUUCGGUAUGUAAACCUCGAAAGAAUGGGAAGAAUAAAUGACGGUACCAUUUAUAAGCUCCGGCUAACUACGUGCCAGCAGCCGCGGUAAUACGUAGGGAGCAAGCGUUGUCCGGAUUUACUGGGCGUAAAGGGCGCGUAGGCGGCGCGGUAAGUCACUUGUGAAAUCUCUGAGCUUAACUCAGAACGGCCAAGUGAUACUGCUGUGCUAGAGUGCGGAAGAGGCAACCGGAAUUCUUGGUGUAGCGGUGAAAUGCGUAGAUAUCAAGAGGAACACCUGAGGCGAAGGCGGGUUGCUGGGCCGACACUGACGCUGAUGCGCGAAAGCCAGGGGAGCAAACG